AUGGACAGGUCAGGGCAACUCCCUGGCACCAUGGAAACACUAGCCCUGCCUUCAGUGCCGGGUCUAAGCUGCCAGGAGCCCCACUCUGGAUGGGAGAGAUGCUGGGGGUGUAGCAGAACAAAGCAGGGCUCAGUGGGGGCCUCCAAGUGGAACUCUCUCCAGACGAGUACUGGAAAAGCCUCAGGAGGUGGCAAGCAGGAGGAUGACAGUGACCCGCACGAGACCUGGCAGAGGGGCCGAGAUGGCGGAGGCAGCUCGCGGCCGUCCUAUAUGCGAGCUACCCCCGCCUUUCCCCCGCUCAUUCUGUUGGAGUGCAACACAGAGCCAGCAGAGAGAAGGUUUUCUCUGCCAAAGGGGACCCCGUGCCAUUGGAUGACUCAACGUGGAAGCAAUUUGUCCCCUCCUCUGAAUUCUCAUGUGCCUUUUCUGUAUCCCCCUGGAUCACUUUCAGUAUUAGAUCGUUGAUAUUUGCAUGCAGGUUUCAGUAUCUCUCUUUCCCUAAAUCGUGAGCUCUAAGAAAGCAGAGACUAUAUUAUUUACUCCCGUGAUACCCCAGGGUCCAGCACAGGGCCUCGCACCCGUUAAACGUCCGAUAAGCAUUUGUUCCGUGAAUGAAUGAAGCGGGGUAAAUACGUGAAUGAGAGGGGAGGGAUUCUCCCUUACAUGAGAGGCUUUUCAUUAAAUAUACUUUAUUGAAUAUACAUACUAAAUCAGCAUAAAUGUACGGAGGGGGUCAAGAGGAAACAAUAUUAAAUACGAAAGAGAACUAUCUAUGCAAAAGGGUUUCUUAAGGUGCUUUGGAAGGGAAGCCUAGACAAUGAAGACAUUCCCCCCUCCCCGUUAUGUCUUAUUUUUUCACGAAGUCUCCCAAAUUUCUAUUUAAAUGUUGUUAACGUGUCUACUAAAAUGACCUGUUGAUUGACAUAAUAAGGCAACAUCUCAGACUUCAUGCCGCAAAACCAGCUUGCUAGCUUCUUUUCACACUUAACAGCUAAUUUCGGAGGUGAGACUAAGUACCCAGGUCUGUCGUUAUUUGAGAUUUUUAAAAUUAUCCCGGAUCCCCAGGCAACACCCGCCACGUGGUUCGCAUGUAUCAAUGUUUUGUGUCUUAGUUUUCCCAAGACCCAGUGAGAUAGGAAUAAUAAUACCUGCUUUAAAAAUGAGACUUUCAAUGACCGAGAUGAGAUUUUUGACUCAAGGCCACGUGGUCAUUAACUCUGAGUGUCGAUGUCAGAGCCUAGCCUGUCUGAUUCAG
rnacentral:lncRNA from 1 species